GUGCUUACUUCAGCAACACAGAAAGUAAGACUGGAGGGAUAAAGAGAAGAUGAGCAUGGCCUCUGCACAAGGAUGACGUGUAAAUCUAUGAUGCUUUCUGCAUUUUC